GUCGAGCGAAGCUUUUCAGUAGUUUACUACAGAAAAUGACUGAGCGGCGAACGGGUGAGUAACGCGUGAGCAAUCUACCUUAGUUACAGGGAUAGCCCGAGGAAACUCGGAUUAAUACCUGAUAUUCUUCAAAUUUCGCAUGAAAUUAAAAGGAAAGGUCAGCCGAACUAAGAUGAGCUCGCGUUCUAUCAGCUAGUUGGUGAGGUAAAAGCUCACCAAGGCAACGACGGAUAGCUGGUCUGAGAGGACGAUCAGCCACACUGGGACUGAGACACGGCCCAGACUCCUACGGGAGGCUGCAGCAGGGAAUAUUGCGCAAUGAGCGAAAGCUUGACGCAGCGACACCGCGUGUGGGAUGACGGAUCUAGGUUUGUAAACCACUUUCAGGAGGGAAGAAAAUGACGGUACCUCCACAAGAAGCCCCGGCCAACUACGUGCCAGCAGCCGCGGUAAUACGUAGGGGGCGAGCGUUGUCCGGAUUUAUUGGGCGUAAAGAGCUCGUAGGCGGUUCAACAAGUCGGUCGUAAAAGUUCAGGGCUCAACCCUGAAAUGUCGAUCGAUACUGUUGUGACUAGGAUACGGUAGAGGUGAGUGGAAUUCCGAGUGUAGCGGUGAAAUGCGUAGAUAUUCGGAGGAACACCAAUUGCGAAGGCAGCUCACUGGGCCGCUAUCGACGCUGAGGAGCGAAAGCUAGGGGAGCAAACAGGAUUAGAUACCCUGGUAGUCCUAGCUGUAAACGAUGGAUACUAGACGUAGGAACUGGAUUGACGGUUUCUGUGUCGUAGCUAACGCGUUAAGUAUCCCGCCUGGGGAGUACGGUCGCAAGACUAAAACUCAAAGGAAUUGACGGGACCCCGCACAAGCGGCGGAGCAUGCGGCUUAAUUCGAUGAUACCCGUAGAACCUUACCUGGACUUGACAUAUAGGGUCAAGCUAUAGAGAUAUAGUGUGCAUUAGCGCCCUAUACAG
rnacentral:rRNA from 1 species